rnacentral:rRNA from 1 species
GACGAACGCUGGCGGCGUGCUUAACACAUGCAAGUCGAGCGGAGCGGCGAACGGGGGAGUAACGCGUGAGUAACUGCCCCCCUCUCUGGGAUAACAGUUGGAAACGGCUGCUAAUACCGGAUAGUGGGGGAUGACUCGCGUCCUAUCGGCUAUUUGGUGGGGUAGUGGCCUACCAAGGCGACGACGGGUAGCCGGCCUGAGAGGGCGACCGGCCUCCUUGGGCUGAGAUAGGGGCCAAACUCCAACGGGAGGCAGCAGUGGGGAAUAUUGCACAAUGGGGGAGACCCUGAUGCAGAAACCCGCGUGCGGAAUGACGGUCUUCGGGUUGUAAACCGCUUUCAGCGAUGACGCGGUAGUGGCAGAAGAAGCACCGGCUAACUACGUGCCAGCAGCCGCGGUAAUUC